GAGAAUCGGUAAAUUUCGUACCUCUGCUUGGAAGUUGUGGGCCACUUUCCCGGGAAGCUCUAUCAAGAGUUGACGUUGAUUUACAAACCUGCAACUUGAGGACUUCAAGGAUUACCGUGAAUUUCGGUCACGGGCUAAAACAUUGUUAUAGAAUAGAAUCAAAUCUCUCUACUUUAGGCUUAGCAGUGUCCAAUGGCUUCCACCAGCAAUGUUCAAAUACUCCCAUCAUCGUCUGAUCUUUCCUCUCCUAUUUCUGAAUCACCAUGGGAAUAUGAAGUUUUCCUCAGUUUCAGAGGUGAAGACACUCGUUAUACUUUUACUGAACGUCUAUAUGAGGCCUUGGUCGAGAAAGGGAUUGUCACCUUUAAGGACGAUGAAGAUCUCGAAAUAGGAAAACCCAUUUCGCCUGAACUCAUAUGUGCAAUCAAGAAAUCGAGAAUGGCAGUCGUCGUCUUGUCAAGAAACUAUGCAUCUUCCACAUGGUGCUUGCAAGAACUUGUAGAGAUUGAUAAAUGCGUGAAAGAGAGUGGGAUGAAAAUUUUUCCCAUCCUUUAUCAUGAGGAUCCAAGCAAUGUUCGGCAUCAGAGGGAGACUUUUGCAGAUGCCUUUGUAGAGCAUGACAAACGUUACAAAGACAACAUGAAGAAGGCGCAAGGGUGGCGAGAUGCUUUGACAAAAGUGGCCAAUCACUCCGUAUACUCCCUAAAGGAUGGGUCCGAGUCAACGCACAUCCAAAACAUUGUUGGAAAGAUAUCCCAUGAUUUGGAUGGUACACUCUCAGGUGUUGAUGAGGACAGCCUUGUUGGAAUGUACUCCCCAUGAUGUUCGCUCUAUAGGAAUAUGUGGGAUGAGUGGGAUGGGUAAGACAACGCUUGCACAAGCUGUUUUUAAAAGGAUCCGUAGUCAAUUUCAAGCUAGCAGCUUUCUCAACAAUGUUAGAAUGGAGCAUGAAAAACGUGGUUUAGCUACAUUGCAGCAACAGCUCCUCACUGAUAUGAAGUUAAAAAGUGAAAAAGAUAAAGCAUAUGCAUGUACAGGAAUCGAUGAGACAAUUAAGAGAUUGCGUUACAAAAAGGUUCUUCUUGUUCUUGAUGAUGUGGAUAAUAUAGUACAAUUAAAAACAUUAGCAGGGAACCAUAAUUGGUUUGGCUCAGGGAGUAGAAUUAUCAUAACCACUAAAGACAGACAUCUCUUGAAAAUACAUGGAGUACAAAAUGUGUACAUGGCUGAGAAAUUGAAUGAAUGUGAUGCUCUACAACUCUUUUGUCAAGAAGCCUUCCACAAACCCCAUUGUGAAAAAGGCCUUCUAGAUCUAUGCGAGGGGUUUAUAAGUUAUGCUAAUGGGCAUCCUCUAGCUCUUACAGUUUUGGGAUCCUCUCUGUUGGGAAAAGAAAGAAAGGUAUGGGAAAGUGCUUGGGAUAGACUAAAAGAAUUUCCUGACAAAGGUAUUCAGAACACACUUCAAAUCAAUUUUGAUGCGCUGCGGGAUAUAGAGAAAAAACUAUUUUUAGAUAUUGCCUGCUUCUUCAAUGGGGAGGAGCAAAAACGAGUGGUUGAUAUACUAGAAGGUUCCGGUUGCUACCCGGAAAUUGAUAUGGAAAAUCUCAUUGACAAAUCUCUAGUAACCAUUUUAGAGAGAAAAUUGUGGAUACACGAUUUACUACAGAGAAUGGGUUAGGAAAUUAUUCAUUGUCAAUCCCCACAGAAUCCAGGAGAACGCAGUAGGUUAUGGCUUUGUGACGAUGUCUUUAAAGUACUAAUGGAUAAUACAGGAACUGCUUCAGUUGAAGGCAUGAUGCUAAACUCAUAUCCACAUCAACAAGAAUGCUUGAAGCCUGAAGCAUUCUCAUUGAUGACAAAUCUGAGAUUGCUUAGAAUCUACAAUGUGCACCUUCCUCUGGGCCUCAGUUAUCUUUCUAACGAGUUACAUCUUAUGGAAUGGUAUGAAUAUCCUUUGAGAUCCAUACCAAGGGGUUUUCAACCAAUCAAACUUGUUGAGCUCAUAAUGCCUCGCAGCCGCUUUGAGCGGCUACCAAUGGGAUUUACUGUAAGAUUUUUAAUUAUGUUGUAUUUUUUGUUUUUUAAAUAAGUACUUGACUAUUGAUUUUCCUA